rnacentral:rRNA from 1 species
AAUGAACGUUGGCGGCGUGGAUUAGGCAUGCAAGUCGAGCGAGAAGAGUUUGGUAGCUUGCUAUUGAACUCGGACAGCGGCGAAAGGGAGAGUAACGCGUAGUUACGUGCCCCAGGGUUCGGAAUAGCCACGGGAAACUGUGGGUAAUGCCGAAUAACAUCUCCGGAUCAAAGGUGUGAUUCCGCCCUGGGAGCGGACUGCGUCCUACUAGCUAGUUGGCGGGGUAAUGGCCCACCAAGGCGACAAUGGGUAGCGGGUGUGAGAGCAUGACCCGUCUCACUGGGACUGAGACACUGCCCAGACACCUACGGGUGGCUGCAGUCGAGAAUCUUCGGCAAUGGGCGAAAGCCUGACCGAGCGACGCCGCGUGCGGGAUGAAGGCCCUCGGGUUGUAAACCGCUGUCGUAGGGGAGGAAGGCUCCGUGAAGAACGGGGUUUGACCUAGCCUAGGAGGAAGUACGGGCUAAGUUCGUGCCAGCAGCCGCCGUAA